CAAGCAGUUGUAGUCUCAGUAUUAGAGUGAAACACGGAGAAGUAUGAUUGUAUAACCUGGUAGGUGCGGAUGGUUUUCGUUGCGGAAUAGCACCCGUGACACGGUCAGGGGGAAUUCCAGUAUGCUGCUGCACCAACUUUGAGGAACACUGCUCCAAAAGGUGAUGGAAAAAGUCUUUUCAAAUUAAUGGUGGUCAUGCAUCAACCUUA
rnacentral:lncRNA from 1 species